GGAGAGAUGGCCGAGUGGCUUAAGGCGCAUGUCUUGAAAACAUGUGUGGGGAAACUCACCGUGGGUUCGAAUCCCUCUCUCUCCG
rnacentral:tRNA from 1 species